rnacentral:rRNA from 1 species
CCUACGGGUGGCAGCAGUGGGGAAUAUUGGACAAUGGGGGCAACCCUGAUCCCGCCAUGCCGCGUGUGUGAAGAAGGCCCUCGGGUUGUAAAGCACUUUCAGUGAGGAAGAACGCCUGGUGGUUAAUACCCAUCAGGAAAGACAUCACUCACAGAAGAAGCACCGGCUAACUCCGUGCCAGCAGCCGCGGUAAUACGGAGGGUGCGAGCGUUAAUCGGAAUUACUGGGCGUAAAGCGCGCGUAGGUGGCUUGAUAAGCCGGUUGUGAAAGCCCCGGGCUCAACCUGGGACCGGCAUCCGGAACUGUCAAGCUAGAGUGCAGGAGAGGAAGGUAGAAUUCCCGGUGUAGCGGUGAAAUGCGUAGAGAUCGGGAGGAAUACCAGUGGCGAAGGCGGCCUUCUGGACUGACACUGACACUGAGGUGCGAAAGCGUGGGUAGCAAACAGGAUUAGAUACCCGUGUAGUC